rnacentral:rRNA from 1 species
CAAUAGCGUAUAUUAAAGUUGUUGCAGUUAAAAAGCUCGUAGUUGGACCUUGGACCUGGACAGGCGGUCCGCCUCACGGCGUGUUCUGUCUUGCUGGGUCUUUCCUCUUGGUGAUCUGUUGUUUCGGCAGCAGGGAACCAGGACUUUUACUUUGAAAAAAUUAGAGUGUUCAAAGCAGGCUCGACGCCGGAAUAUAUUAGCAUGGAAUAAUAAAAUAGGACGUGCGGUUCUAUUUUGUUGGUUUUUGGAAUCGCCGUAAUGAUUAAUAGGGACAGUCGGGGGCAUUAGUACUCACAUGCUAGAGGUGAAAUUCUUGGAUUUUGUGAAGACUAACUUCUGCGAAAGCAUUUGCCAAGGAUGUUUUCAUUAA